UACAGAGGUGGCAAGCGUUGUUCGGAAUUACUGGGCGUAAAGGGCGCGUAGGCGGUCUCAUAAGUCCCGUGUGAAAGCCCCCGGCUCAACCGGGGAACGGCACGGGAAACUGCGAGGCUUGAGUUCGGGAGAGGGAAGCGGAAUUCCGGGUGUAGCGGUGAAAUGCGUAGAUAUCCGGAGGAACACCAGUGGCGAAGGCGGCUUCCUGGACCGAUACUGACGCUGAGGCGCGAAAGCUAGGGGAGCAAACGGG
rnacentral:rRNA from 1 species